rnacentral:rRNA from 1 species
CCUACGGUGGGCAGCAGUGGGGAAUAUUGGACAAUGGGGGCAACCCUGAUCCAGCCAUGCCGCGUGUGUGAAGAAGGCCCUCGGGUUGUAAAGCACUUUCAGUGAUGAAGAACGCCUGGUGGUUAAUACCCAUCAGGAAAGACAUCACUCACAGAAGAAGCACCGGCUAACUCCGUGCCAUCAGCCGCGGUAAUACGGAGGGUGCGAGCGUUAAUCGGAAUUACUGGGCGUAAAGCGCGCGUAGGUGGCUUGAUAAGCCGGUUGUGAAAGCCCCGGGCUCAACCUGGGAACGGCAUCCGGAACUGUCAAGCUAGAGUGCAGGAGAGGAAGGUAGAAUUCCCGGUGUAGCGGUGAAAUGCGUAGAGAUCGGGAGGAAUACCAGUGGCGAAGGCGGCCUUCUGGACUGACACUGACACUGAGGUGCGAAAGCGUGGGUAGCAAACAGGAUUAGAUACCCUAGUAGUC